rnacentral:rRNA from 1 species
CAUGUAGGCGGAUUAAUAAGUUUGAAGUGAAAUCCUAUAGCUUAACUAUAGGACUGCUUUGAAAACUGUUAAUCUAGAAUGUGGGAGAGGUAGAUGGAAUUUCUGGUGUAGGGGUAAAAUCCGUAGAGAUCAGAAGGAAUACCGAUUGCGAAGGCGAUCUACUGGAACAUUAUUGACGCUGAGAUGCGAAAGCGUGGGGAGCAAACA